rnacentral:rRNA from 1 species
GACGAACGCUGGCGGCGUGCCUAAUACAUGCAAGUUGAGCGAUGAAGAUUGGUGCUUGCACCAAUUUGAAGAGCAGCGAACGGGUGAGUAACGCGUGGGGAAUCUGCCUUUGAGCGGGGGACAACAUUUGGAAACGAAUGCUAAUACCGCAUAAUAACUUUAAACAUAAGUUUUAAGUUUGAAAGAUGCAAUUGCAUCACUCAAAGAUGAUCCCGUGUUGUAUUAGCUAGUUGGUGAGGUAAAGGCUCACCAAGGCGAUGAUACAUAGCCGACCUGAGAGGGUGAUCGGCCACAUUGGGACUGAGACACGGCCCAAACUCCUACGGGAGGCAGCAGUAGGGAAUCUUCGGCAAUGGACGAAAGUCUGACCGAGCAACGCCGCGUGAGUGAAGAAGGUUUUCGGAUCGUAAAACUUUGUUGGUAGAGAAGAACGUUGGUGAGAGUGGAAAGCUCAUCAAGUGACGGUAACUACCCAGAAAGGGACGGCUAACUACGUG